CUUCAUCUUCAGAAGGAGAGAUGCCCUGAGGCCGACGAGGGGAAGGAGACUUCAUCUUCAGAAGGAGAGAUGCCCUGAGGCUGACGAGGGGAAAGAGACUUCAUCUUCAGAAGGAGAGAUGCCCUGAGGCUGACGAGGGGAAGGAGACUUCAUCUUCAGAAGGAGAGAUGCCCUGAGGCUGACGAGGGGAAGAAGACUUCAUCUUCAGAAGGAGAGAUGCCCUGAGACUGACGAGGGGAAGGAGAGAUGCCCUGAGGUUGACGAGGGGAAGGAGACUUCAUCUUCAGAAGGAGAGAUGUCCUGACGAGGGUAGGAGAGAUGUCCUGAGGCUGACGAGGGGAAGGAGAGAUGCCCUGAGGCUGACGAGGGGCUGGAGACUUCAUCUUCAGAAGGAGAGAUGCGCUGAGGCUGACGAGGGGAAGUAGAGAUAACCUGAGGCUGAUGAGGGGAAGGAGAGGUGUCCCGAGCCUGACAAGGGAUAGGAGAGAUGCCCUGAGACUGACGAGGGGAAGUACACUUCAUCUUCAGAAUGAGAGAUGCCCUGAGGCUGACGAGGGGAAGGAGAGAUGCCCUGAGGCUGACGAGGGGAAGGAGACUUCAUCUUCAGAAGUAGAGAUGCCCUGAGGCCGACGAGGGGAAGGAGACUUCAUCUUCAGAAGGAGAGAUGCCCUGAGGCUGACGAGGGGAAAGAGACUUCAUCUUCAGAAGGAGAGAUGCCCUGAGGCUGACGAGGGGAAGGAGACUUCAUCUUCAGAAGGAGAGAUGCCCUGAGGCUGACGAGGG
rnacentral:lncRNA from 1 species